UACGUAGGGUGCGAGCGUUAUUCGGAAUUACUGGGCGUAAAGGGCGCGCAGGCGGCGUCGCAAGUCAGGCGUGAAAUCCCCGGGCUUAACCUGGGAAUGGCGCUUGAAACUGCGAUGCUGGAGUAUGGCAGAGGGAGGUGGAAUUCCACGUGUAGCGGUGAAAUGCGUAGAGAUGUGGAGGAACACCGAUGGCGAAGGCAGCCUCCUGGGCCAAUACUGACGCUCAUGCACGAAAGCGUGGGGAGCAAACAGG
rnacentral:rRNA from 1 species